UGCCAGCCGCCGCGGUAAUACGGAGGAUGCAAGCGUUAUCCGGAUUUAUUGGGUUUAAAGGGUACGUAGGCGGAAAAUUAAGUCAGUAGUGAAAUCCCACAGCUUAACUGUGGAACUGUUAUUGAUACUGGUUUUCUUGAAUAUAGUUGAGGUAGGCGGAAUGUGUAAUGUAGCGGUGGAAUGCUUAGAUAUGACACAGAACACCGAUUGCGAAGGCAGCUUACUAAGCUAUGAUUGACGCUGAGGUACGAAAGCGUGGGGAGCGAACAGGAUUAGAUA
rnacentral:rRNA from 1 species